ensembl:lncRNA
GGCUGACAGGCCUGUACUUCCUAAGAUCCUCCUCAUGGCCCUUCUUGUAGAUGGGAGUCACAUCGGCAAGCCUUCAGUCUUUUGGGAUCUCUCCAGAUAACCAGCAGAGCUAGUAGAUGGCAGAGAGUGGCUUGGCAAUCAUCCCCGCCAGCUCCCUCAGCACCCUAGGAUGGAGCCCGUCCGGUCCCUCGGACUUGUGACAGUCCAGAUGGAGGUGGAGCUCUCUAACUGUCUCCACCUGAAUCAUCAGGGGUGUAUUCUGCAUACCAUCCCAGACUUCCAGAACAGGGCAUAAAGUACCCUGAGGAUAACUGAGCCAUGGAGCAAUGCUGGGUGUGCUCUGGGAGAGCAGAUAGAAGAGAGGACAAAACUGCUUCACGACAGCAUCUGGGAGAGCAGCAGCCCUGCAGGCGCCCAGCGCUGUAAAGAGAAGAGUAUGGAACUGGUGCUCUCAGAAUGGUCUAAGUGUACACAGAAGGUCAUACCAUAAAAUCCUGCCAAGGGGAAGAAAAUUCUUCUCCUAACUAUUUUUGGAUUUAUUGACAACAUCUAACCAAACCCACUGGGAGAGUCUUCAGAGAGUAUCCACAUCCUUGCCAUCUGUCUUCAGCAGCAUUGUGCCUCUGGGAAGCAAAGACUGGAUCUGCUUACUCUGUCCCAAACAACAACAGUAUCAGCUGAGAGGAUAAAGACAAGUUGCACACACUAAGAAGAUGUUAGCAUUUUAAUCUCACAGAUUAGUUUAGGCUCUUAAGAUCAUUUAAAAUGCAAUUGCACAGAGUACUGGCAGAACCGCUGAGGAGCAAUUGGUACAUCUGUACUUUUUUCUGUCUUAGGUUUAAGUGCCUAGCAUUGAAAUUGGUAGCUUGAAUACUUUUGAAUUCAGAAGCUAAGACAAUGUCACAGAUAAACUUUCUAUGCAAUAAAUGUCAGCUUCAUCAGUCUUCUUAGAAGUGAUAUGAUUAACUUCUGACAGCAUUUUGAGAACAUGUGCAGUUCUUUAUUUGGAUGUACGGUUGAAGCAGUGAUAAAUUCCUUUUCAAAAGCAAAUGAAGAACUAUAGGUAUGGUAGAUGCCAACUUCCUGCCUGGCAAUUGGCUUCUGAACAUUUGCGUUCUUGCCUUCCUGUGUGUUUCUUGAUUACUUCACUGAUCAGAUGCAUUUGCAGCUUCCACUUCUGCUGUCUGACCUGCACCUGUUGUAUGCAAAUACCACUGAAAUGUCUUCAGAGCAGAAAGAACAAAAAGCUGAAU